CAGGCUUAACACAUGCAAGUCGAGGGGCAGCAUGGUCUUAGCUUGCUAAGGCCGAUGGCGACCGGCGCACGGGUGAGUAACACGUAUCCAACCUGCCGUCUACUCUUGGACAGCCUUCUGAAAGGAAGAUUAAUACAAGAUGGCAUCAUGAGUCCGCAUGUUCACAUGAUUAAAGGUAUUCCGGUAGACGAUGGGGAUGCGUUCCAUUAGAUAGUAGGCGGGGUAACGGCCCACCUAGUCUUCGAUGGAUAGGGGUUCUGAGAGGAAGGUCCCCCACAUUGGAACUGAGACACGGUCCAAACUCCUACGGGAGGCAGCAGUGAGGAAUAUUGGUCAAUGGGCGAGAGCCUGAACCAGCCAAGUAGCGUGAAGGAUGACUGCCCUAUGGGUUGUAAACUUCUUUUAUAAAGGAAUAAAGUCGGGUAUGGAUACCCGUUUGCAUGUACUUUAUGAAUAAGGAUCGGCUAACUCCGUGCCAGCAGCCGCGGUAAUACGGAGGAUCCGAGCGUUAUCCGGAUUUAUUGGGUUUAAAGGGAGCGUAGAUGGAUGUUUAAGUCAGUUGUGAAAGUUUGCGGCUCAACCGUAAAAUUGCAGUUGAUACUGGAUAUCUUGAGUGCAGUUGAGGCAGGCGGAAUUCGUGGUGUAGCGGUGAAAUGCUUAGAUAUCACGAAGAACUCCGAUUGCGAAGGCAGCCUGCUAAGCUGCAACUGACAUUGAGGCUCGAAAGUGUGGGUAUCAAACAGGAUUAGAUACCCUGGUAGUCCACACGGUAAACGAUGAAUACUCGCUGUUUGCGAUAUACUGCAAGCGGCCAAGCGAAAGCGUUAAGUAUUCCACCUGGGGAGUACGCCGGCAACGGUGAAACUCAAAGGAAUUGACGGGGGCCCGCACAAGCGGAGGAACAUGUGGUUUAAUUCGAUGAUACGCGAGGAACCUUACCCGGGCUUAAAUUGCAGAUGAAUUACGGUGAAAGCCGUAAGCCGCAAGGCAUCUGUGAAGGUGCUGCAUGGUUGUCGUCAGCUCGUGCCGUGAGGUGUCGGCUUAAGUGCCAUAACGAGCGCAACCCUUGUUGUCAGUUACUAACAGGUUCCGCUGAGGACUCUGACAAGACUGCCAUCGUAAGAUGUGAGGAAGGUGGGGAUGACGUCAAAUCAGCACGGCCCUUACGUCCGGGGCUACACACGUGUUACAAUGGGGGGUACAGAGGGCCGCUACCACGCGAGUGGAUGCCAAUCCCCAAAACCUCUCUCAGUUCGGACUGGAGUCUGCAACCCGACUCCACGAAGCUGGAUUCGCUAGUAAUCGCGCAUCAGCCACGGCGCGGUGAAUACGUUCCCGGGCCUUGUACACACCGCCCGUCAAGCCAUGGGAGCCGGGGGUACCUGAAGUGCGUAACCGCGAGGAGCGCCCUAGGGUAAAACUGGUGACUGGGGCUAA
rnacentral:rRNA from 1 species